UUGAGGAAGCCUACUUGAGCCAAGUUUUAAAUUAUACUGAGCUUUAAAUUAAAAGCUCCAUCAACACAUACAAAAGGUCCAUUUGAGAUGAGAAACAUUCAACACAGAUGCUGGCUGCAAAUGGAAGCGUCAUAAUCUCCCUGUAAACACCUUUCUUGUGAUCCUAUGCUUUAUGCUUCAAAUGAAGAUCACAGUGUCGAAGAGCCUUUAGUACCUCCAGAAGGGCCAAAACCGGGGAGCAUGUUUCAUUUUCUGGUUAAGCAUACCAAGUUGAAUAGAAAUUAAAAAACAUGAUUAUACCCCCUGAAUUUCCUGGUUCAGACUAGGAUUACAUAAAAUGAGCGCUGAAGGUGGCUAAAGUUUCUGAUUAAAUGAGCUGCACAUUCAACUGUCAGCUUAAUAGUAAUACUGUACACCUUCAUUCGUUCAACCAAUACAUAAAUUAUAUUGUGAUCUCUUCCAUUUAUUCUCUUGUAACUUGGAAUUAAGUUUUCAUUGUUGCAAAUACAGUUUUCUUCCUGGUGUCACCUGUAUUUAGAAAUGAUUGUUAAUAUUUUCAUCCUGGGUUGAUGGAAAACCAGAGGAUGUACUAAACCCAAAAAAGAAGCAGCUGUAGAAGAUUACACUAGUAUGUGCUUUCCUUUUUCUAGGCAUGUGACUGUAUGCAUAUAAACUCUAAGUGGAUACUCGGUGUAUAUUAUUAUUGGGUGACUGGACAGUCUUGAUAUGGUGAAGUGGGUUGUCAUUUAUACUUGCAUAAAAUCUGAUGACAGCUCUCUCAUGGUUGCUGCAUCUGUUGACUAAUGAGAAAGGUGUGGCCACAUUUAAGGGCAUACCAUUUAUGACAUCUGCCAGGCCAUGAACAUCAUCCAUUCCAAAGGCAAGCAUCAAACGAGGAUGAUUACAUGUUGAGCAUCAACCAAAAGCUAUGGCUCACUGAAAAAAAAAUUUUGUUUUAGUUUCAAACUUUACCUGUCACUUUUUGAAAGAUAAUGUUAUAAACAUGUAAUCAACUAAAUCAGCUACCUGUGAAUAUGAUGAAAGAAAAGUUUCUCUAAGUCAGCUACCUGCGAAUGGUUUAGACCUGGA